CGGAGAGGGCGCAUGAGAAACGGCUACCACUUCUAAGGAAGGCAGCAGGCGCGCAAAUUACCCAAUCCUGACUCAGGGAGGUAGUGACAAGAAAUAACAAUAAACCGGCUUAUGCCGGUUUAAUUGGAAUGAGUACAAUUUAAACAUCUUAACGAGGAACAAUUGGAGGGCAAGUCAGGUGCCAGCAACCGCGGUAAUUCCAGCUCCAAUAGCGUAUACUAAAGUUGUUGCAGUUAAAAAGCUCGUAGUUGGAUUUCUGCGGGGACGGAGCGGCCGGACGCAACUUGCGUCUCGAGCUAGCGCUUUCCCCGCAUCCUGCCGCGAACCGUGCUACCAUUAGCUUGGUGGCGCUGGGGAUCGGCUCGAUUACUUUGAGAAAAAUAGAGUGUUCAAAGCAGGCCACACGCCUUGAAUAAGUUAGCAUGGAAUAAUGACUAAGGACUUCGGUUCUAUUUUGUUGGUGUUCGGGACUGAAGUAAUGAUUGAUAGGGACAGUUGGGGCGGUCUGUAUUCCAAAGCGAGAGGUGAAAUUCUUAGACCUUCGGAAGACAAACAGCUGCGAAAGCGUUCCGCAAGGAUGUUCCCUUUGAUCAAGAACGAAAGUUGGGGGAUCGAAGACGAUCAGAUACCGUCGUAGUCUCAACUAUAAACUAUACCAGCUAGGGAUCGGUCAACGUUUAAUCAUUCGACUUGAUCGGCACCUUAUGAGAAAUCAAAGCAUCUGGGUUCCGGGGGGAGUAUGGUCGCAAGGCUGAAACUUAAAGGAAUUGACGGAAGGGCACCACCAGCCGUGGAGCCUGUGGCUUAAUUUGACUCAACACGGGAAAACUUACCAGGUCCAGACAUAGUAAGGAUUGACAGAUUGAUAGCUCUUUCUUGAUUCUGUGGGUGGUGGUGCAUGGCCGUUCUUAGUUGGUGGAGUGAUUUGUCUGGUUAAUUCCGUUAACGAGCGAGACCCCAGCCUGCUAAAUAGCGCGGCUGAGCUUUGCUCGGUGCGAGCUUCUUAGAGGGACUAUGAUGCGCGAUAGCACAUGGAAGUUUGGGGCAAUAACAGGUCUGUGAUGCCCUUAGAUGUUCUGGGCCGCACACGGGCUACACUGGCGCCUGCAACGAGCAUAUCAGCUGGCCCGAGAGGGUCUUGGCUAAUCUUUUGAACCGGCGCCGUGCUUGGGAUUGACCAUUGCAAUUGUUGGUCAUGCAACGAGGAAUGCCUUGUAAACGCGAGUCAUCAGCUCGCAUUGAAUACGUCCCUGCCCUUUGUACACACCGCCCGUCGCUCCUACCGAUGAAUGUUCCGAUGAAAUUUUCGGAGAGCGCCAGAGAACGGGGCUCCGCCUUGCAGAUCUGGAGGCUCAAAGUCACUUAAAUCUGAACAUUUCGAGGAAGGAGAAGUCGUAACAAGGUAACC
rnacentral:rRNA from 1 species